GUUUUUAUAGUGUAAAUAACACUUAACAUUUUCGUUGUUAAAAUGAAUCUCUCUAAAAAUA
rnacentral:tRNA from 1 species